GCCAGCAGCCGCGGUAAUACGUAGGGUGCGAGCGUUGUCCGGAAUUACUGGGCGUAAAGAGCUCGUAGGUGGUUUGUCGCGUUGUUCGUGAAAACUCACAGCUUAACUGUGGGCGUGCGGGCGAUACGGGCAGACUGGAGUACUGCAGGGGAGACUGGAAUUCCUGGUGUAGCGGUGGAAUGCGCAGAUAUCAGGAGGAACACCGGUGGCGAAGGCGGGUCUCUGGGCAGUAACUGACGCUGAGGAGCGAAAGCGUGGGGAGCGAACAGGAUUAGAUACCCUGGUAGUCCACGCCGUAAACGGUGGGUACUAGGUGUGGGUUUCCUUCCUUGGGAUCCGUGCCGUAGCUAACGCAUUAAGUACCCCGCCUGGGGAGUACGGCCGCAAGGCUAAAACUCAAAGAAA
rnacentral:rRNA from 1 species